UACAGAGGUGGCAAGCGUUGUUCGGAAUUACUGGGCGUAAAGGGCGCGUAGGCGGUCUUGCAAGUCCCGUGUGAAAUCCCUCGGCUCAACUGAGGAAUGGCACGGGAAACUGCUUGGCUUGAGUUCGGGAGAGGGAAGCGGAAUUCCGGGUGUAGCGGUGAAAUGCGUAGAUAUCCGGAGGAACACCGGUGGCGAAGGCGGCUUCCUGGACCGACACUGACGCUGAGGCGCGAAAGCUAGGGGAGCAAACGGG
rnacentral:rRNA from 2 species